rnacentral:lncRNA from 1 species
CUGAUCUAUUAUGUAAAUAUUUAUUUUAUUUUUCAGUUAAGGAGUGAACUGAGACUGUUGUAGUAAGAGUUGAGAAGCUUUCUUGAGUUGUAUGUUGAGUAGAUAACCAGUUUUUGUCCAAGAUGUAUUUUAUGGAAACACAUAUGUGAAAAGAACUUAUGCAAGCCCAAAUGAUUAUUUUUUUAAAAAAUUUAUUGUUUUAAAGCAUUUAAGUGCUUUCAGCUUGAUAGAAAAUAGAGGUUUUUACAGCUAUGUAAUUUUAUUUUUAUUUAUUUAUUUUUUUAAAUUUUAAAAUCUUUAAUUCUUACAUGCGUUCCCAAACAUGAACCCCCCUCUAGAUGUUUAAAAACAGUUUACAGUUUGUUGUUAUUUAACUUUAAUCUCUUUUUUUUAUCCUUUUCUCAAUUUUUUUAACAUAACAUCAAAUUGUAAUGGUAAAUCAAUCUUAUUUGAAAUUUCUAAGUAGGAGAGAAAAGUACAAAUGUGAGCCAGACUUCUUUAAAAAAAAAAAAAAAACCCUAAACUACCUUAUAUCUUGCACUUAAAUGAGAUUUGACUAUAAAUUACAAUGGUGGCUCUGAUUUUUUUAAUGAAAUUUCUCAAAUAUGUGGGACUUUCUAAAUGGAGGUGUUUUAAUCUAUACAGACAGGCUGCAACUGCAGUUUUCUAAAUUAACUUCAGUUUUACAUUAAAUAACAUUUACCUCAGUCAUGUCCUUCUAGAGUUAAUUUAAAUUUUGGUGCCAUGUGGCCUUCAGUUCAGUUCAGU